rnacentral:tRNA from 1 species
GGUCCUGUAGUUCAAUGGAUAGAACGGAAGUUUCCUAAACUUUAGAUUCGAGUUCGAUUCUCGGCGGGACUA